UAAUGUAUCACUUUGGGCCUCAGGCAA
rnacentral:piRNA from 1 species